UCUACAUGCAAGUCGAACGAAUGAGUUAAGAGCUUGUUCUUAUGAAGUAAAAGGGCGGACGGGUAAGUAACACGUGGGUAACCUGCCCAUAAGACUGGGAUAACUCCGGGAAACCGGGGCUAAUACCGGAUAACAUUUUGAACCGCAUGGUUCGAAAUUGAAAGGCGGCUUCGGCUGUCACUUAUGGAUGGACCCGCGUCGCAUUAGCUAGUUGGUGAGGUAACGGCUCACCAAGGCAACGAUGCGUAGCCGACCUGAGAGGGUGAUCGGCCACACUGGGACUGAGACACGGCCCAGACUCCUACGGGAGGCAGCAGUAGGGAAUCUCCGCAAUGGACGAAAGUCUGACGGAGCAACGCCGCGUGA
rnacentral:rRNA from 1 species